AUAAAUAUUUUGCAUAAUAACGUUAUGAUUUUUGUGUGUGAGAGAUAAUAAAGUGAGAGAUACUGUGAUAUAGCAUGCAAUUAUUUUUAAUAAUAUGAUAUUUUUUAUAACAUCAAAAAUCAUAAUCAAAAUUGUCAUAAUUGUGAUCAAUAAAAAAAUGAUAACUUAUGAUCGUAUGCAAAUGGCCUUAAAAAUCACAAUUUAUCAUUACAUGAAAAUGUAACAUAAGGCAUAUAAUGAAAAAAGUAGUAUCGAAUCCUCUCUUUUAUUUUAGUACGGCAUCAUAGAGCCAGUUAUUUUAUUCUGUGUUGACCAGUCUCUAUUCUUUGUUGUAAUUAUUUAGGUUAUGUUUAUCAAAAUGAUAUUGAUAUCUAAUUGUUUUUAUAUAACUUUAAUUUUAAAAAGUUAUUUAAAUUAAAGUGAUUUGGUGAUUACACAAGCUUAGAUUCACAAUAUUCUAUAUAUUUUGUGAGGAUGGACAAGAGAGUUGAAACAGUUAUUGCGAGUCUGUAUCUUGUUGAACCUUGUUCUAUUGUCCCAAUCAUUGGUUUUGUGUUUGCAAUAUGGAGAGAUAAAAACAAUUCGUUAAUUAAACACAAUGUUUCAGGAAGAGGAGAAUAUAUGACGCUGUCCCCACUAUUUCUAGAUUAAGCAGAUGUCACGUGACUAGAUAUCCAGCAAAGCCAAACAUGUCUGCAACUGUGUUUAGAAUUUGUCAUUAUUAUUAUUAUUUUAGAAAAUAUUAUUCGGUGGUCUCUUCUGCGAUAUCCAAAAUGAUGGCGUUCUUCAUAUAUGUACUUUUUCAAAACAAUUGGUCGACGCAAUCUUUGAAAAUUUUUUAAACAGCAUAUUUUUUUGGAAUUGGAUCAAGAAUUUUUCCAUGAGUUAUCGUAGUCCUAUUACUUAUCAUAAAACCUAAAUAUAUUUACGAGACGAGUUAUGGUACAUGUAUAUACGCAUGAUAAUGAACGCAUGGAAAGGAUAAAAUUAGCUCAGUUUUCAGAUUCUUACAUAUUGAA